GUUGUAAAUGAGAACUUGUUCUCAACUAGCCUCCCAUGUCAAAUAAAGGUGAAAUAAAAAAUAUAUUUGAGGAAGGAGGACGACCUGGGAGCGCUUGAGGAGGAGGAUGACCCCACCAUCUCCUUGCACGCGCUCAAUGACAGUCUCCCACCAGUCCCUCCACUCAGGAAGGCCACUCCACCGCCCACUCAACCCAUCCCAGGAGUACAUAGGACCUGAAGGGGUUUAGUGGAUACCAGCACGUGGUCCUCCUGGCCAAGAGUCUGCUGAGGCUGCUGGAGGGGCCAUGGAUCUCUAAUAGGCACAUAGAGGAGAUCAUGGCUCUCUGGGGAAAUCUUCCAGAGAGACACAAGGCGGCAGUCUCCUACCCCGAGAGGUUCCGGGACCGAGUCCUGCAGGGGCGCUUCAACAAUUCAAAGAGGUCAAGCGUGACGGGGGAAGAGAGUAUGAAGCGCUACCUGCUUGGGCAAGGCUCUGGACCUGCUCAGUGGCCCAACACCAGCAGGAUAGUAGAGGCCAUUUUUGUUAGGCUGUGCCACAAACAUCCUGCUGGCAAGAUGGUGCUUGGAAACCGGGUCAACAGGUGGGCUGUCAUCCUGGGGGACUACAGGAGAAUCAGGAUCAUGGUGCUGGGCAGCCCAAACUUGAAUACCGACACAAGGCUGCAACUGUUUGAGGUCAACAAGUUGACCUUGACACAGUGGUAAGUUUCUUAUAUUUUGGUAUGUUGUAUGUGUAGUUCACUGGUUGACAGUGUUGGAGAGAGUGACCCUGCUCCAGACCUGGGACAGCAUGACUGCAGAGAGGGAGGAGUCAGGCCCCUCCCACCCUGCAGUCAGGAGCACCGCUGCCAGCCCCAUCAACCAGCAGCACCUACCAGCUUCCAGAGGACAGAACGGGGCAGGCUACACAGCGUGGCAGAGCAGCCACUGCCACCUCUACCGUCACCCAGUCUGCCUACCACCUCCCUCCCUAUUUUUCCAGUCUCCCAAGACCUGCCCUCGACCUGCACUCCUCUACCUCCCCCCUGCUGGUGGACCCAAGGUCUCCAGGACCACCAAAUGGAGGAAGAGACUGGAGUCUGGGACUAAAGUCAGAGCGCAUAAGCCAUACGAAGGACAUAACUGCUCUAAAUGUGGCAAGCCUAAAACUUCUGAAUUUGGACACAGUAUGUAUGGUACUGUACGAUUCUGUGCCACUACCUCUGGCAGGCAAACUGUGGAGGAGUGGCUGGCACUCAUGAGGUCCCAGCAUGGUGCUAGCCAGGGCCAGUAAACUCUGACUGACAAGAAACCGAUACCAGCUCCAACCGGAAGGUUGUCCCCCCUCCCCCACACCUGAAAUUCAGCAGUCCAUGUUGGCCCCCAGUUCUGAACAGACCCCCCCCCCCACCCCCCAAAGACAAGAACCUGAAGCCAGCUCCAUCCAGAAGCAACAAGGGGGUCAGGAGGACAGCUAAGCGGCGCCUACCAACAAGCAAACCCCCUAAUGCUAGAGUUGCUGCCGCUUCCACCCUCAUAAAGGCCUCCCCCUGACCAGGUCCACAGAUUUGAGGAGGAGAGAUGCGAAGGCUGGUAAUGGACCUGUGAGGAAGAGGAGGUUAUCUGUUGCUUUCCCCUGUAAGAUAUGUGUCAAGCCUAAAAGAAAAGAAUUUGGCCACAGCCAGUACAGGGGAGAGCACUUCUGUAAGGCAGCAGGGGGAGGCAAAACUGCUGUGGAAAAGGAAAAGGAACCACCAGCUUUCAUAUGUUCUCAUGUUCUGAGCGAGGAACUUAAAAGUUAGCUUUUUUAUAUGGCACAUAUUACACUUUUACUUUCUUCUCCAACACUGUGUUUUUGCAUUAUUUAAACCAAAUUUAACAUUUCCUUAUUUA